AUUGAACGCUGGCGGCAUGCUUUACACAUGCAAGUCGAACGGUAACAGGCCGCAAGGUGCUGACGAGUGGCGAACGGGUGAGUAAUGCAUCGGAACGUGCCCAGUCGUGGGGGAUAACGCAGCGAAAGCUGCGCUAAUACCGCAUACGAUCUAUGGAUGAAAGCGGGGGACCGUAAGGCCUCGCGCGAUUGGAGCGGCCGAUGUCAGAUUAGGUAGUUGGUGGGGUAAAGGCUCACCAAGCCAACAAGCUGUAGCUGGUCUGAGACGAAGACCAGCCACAAUGGGACUUGGACACGGCCCAGACUCCUACGGGAGGCAGCAGUGGGGAAGUUUGGACAAUGGGCGCAAGCCUGAUCCAGCAAUGCCGCGUGCAGGAAGAAGGCCUUCGGGUUGUAAACUGCUUUUGUACGGAACGAAACGGUCUGGGUUAAUACCUCGGGCUAAUGACGGUACCGUAAGAAUAAGCACCGGCUAACUACGUGCCAGCCGCCGCUGUAAAAC
rnacentral:rRNA from 1 species